AUCCCUUAACACCGUCUAAUUUGAACUGACGUAGCAAUAUUUUGAAUAACUAGUUAGCUGAUGGUAUUAAGGUUUUGUCCCCUUAUUGCUAAUAGAGCAAAAUACAUGGUACUUGUUUAUCAAGAAAUAAGCACAGGCCCAAACUUGAAAAUCUGAUAAUUCACAUGGUACUUUUUUGUACUUUGCCCUACUUCUUAAGAUUUUGAUCUUCUUGUUUUAUUUAGCCAAUGUAUAGAAAUAUAGAAAUAGAAAGCUAUCAGUACUGGAUCCCACUUACAACAUUCUCCAUGGCAUUGUUAACACUCCAUUAUGAGCAUGCUUUUCUUUUAUCAACUAAACACCAAUCAUAAUGUCCAUCGCA
rnacentral:misc_RNA from 1 species